rnacentral:lncRNA from 1 species
CUUUUAAGUUGGAGGAAAUGCCGACGAAUUAUGGAGGGUUUAGAGAGAAAGUGCAAGGGUUGGAGGUAAGGAAGACAAUUGAGGCAUUGGAUCAGUUGAGGGGAUUGCCUGCUAGAGGUGAUGUGGAAACUGGGGAGGUUCCUUCUUUGGUUGACUUGGGCCUUAAUCCGAGCGCCACCAUUGGUCAGGUAUUAUUAUUUUAUAGUUUCACAUUGAUCAUUCGAAAUGUAAUUCCUUCUUUGGUUGACUUGGGCCUCAAUCCGAGCGCCACCAUGGGUCAGGUAUUACUAUUUUAUAGUUUCACAUUGAUCAUUAGAAAUGUAGAGAACACCUAAGAUCGAUAAUUUAGUAUUGGAAUGAAACUAGUUUUAGUUGUUAUAGAACGAAACGAGUUUUACAUUGGUAUCUAGAAAAUGUAGAGAACUUCUGUUGUUUGAGAACUCCUAAUUUGCUUAAAGGACAAAUUUUGACUUAAAAGACAAAUUCUUUUUGAGUAUUGGAAUGACACUGUUCAGAUGUAGUAUAGUGGAUUGUAAGAAUUCAGAUAGUUGAAGUCGACUAGUUUUAUCUUUUAAUACUUGAAUCGAUCUAGUUUGAGAUUGAGGUAUAAUUGUUCUUUAGUUUCACACUGCUUUCUGUUUCUUAGCUACUUCAUUUUAAGUGAUAGAGAGAUCAAGAGUCCUUUUUUAUAACAGAGUGGAGGUGAUUCAAGUCAGAAAUAUUUGAUGGUUUAAUCCAAUGCAUCUCUUGUAUUGUGAACAUUAUUAGAUUUAACCCCAUGUUUAAGUAGGUUUAAAGUUUGGCAUUUGAGCAUCAGUUAGUUAAAUGACCCUUGCUCUGCUUGUAGUAUCCUUGUAUGGACUAGUUCUGUGUACUGAAAUAUCAAGCUCAUAGCUUUGACAAUUUGUUGAUCAAUAUAUGGAUGAACUUAUUAGGUGGUCACCAACUCGGACACAGCACACCAAACAGCUUUUAUUUGCUGGCUCAAAAUUGUAAUCGGGAAAGAAACUUCUUUAGGGAGUAAUGUUUGGAGGUUUCUUUUAAGUAUUAGCUACAUGUACCGUGCGUAAUCACUUAAGAAACUGUUCCAUAUUUCAAUGACUUGAAAUUGUAACUCGCGUGCUGUAUUUAAACUUAGGAAUUGUAAGUUGUUUAACAUCACAAAUGAUUCAGACAAAGUUGAUUUGUUUCAGUUACUUAGCAAACUACGGCAAAUGUAAACUUUUCUUUAUCUUGG